GAUCAUGGCUCAGGAUGAACGCUGGCGGCGUGCCUAAUACAUGCAAGUCGAACGCGAGCAGCAAUGCUCGAGUGGCGAACGGGUGAGUAAUACAUAAGUAACCUGCCCUAGACAGGGGAUAACUGCUGGAAACGGCAGCUAAGACCGCAUAGGUAUGGACACUGCAUGGUGACCAUAUUAAAAGUGCCAAGGCACUGGUAAGAGGAUGGACUUAUGGCGCA
rnacentral:rRNA from 1 species